rnacentral:rRNA from 1 species
AUAUCAAUAAGCGGAGGAAAAGAAACCAACAGGGAUUGCCUCAGUAUCGGCGAGCGAAGCGGCAAAAGCUCAAAUUUGAAAGCUAGCGUCUUUUAGGCGUUCGCGUUGUAAUUUGAAGAUGGCAACUUUGGAGUCGGCUCUUGCAUAAGUUCCUUGGAAUAGGACGUCAUAGAGGGUGAGAAUCCCGUUUAUGGUGGGAGUACCGUCUCUUUGUAAAGUGCUUUCUAAGAGUCGAGUUGUUUGGGAAUGCAGCUCUAAGUGGGUGGUAAAUUCCAUCUAAGGCUAAAUAUAGGCGAGAGACCGAUAGCGAACAAGUACAGUGAUGGAAAGAUGAAAAGAACUUUGAAAAGAGAGUGAAAAAGUACGUGAAAUUGUUGAAAGGGAAGGGCUUGAGAUCAGACUUGGCUUGUAGUGAUCAACUGUCUUUCGGGACUGUGCACUCGCUACUUGCUAGGCCAGCAUCAGUUCUGGCGGUGAGAUAAUGGUAGUGGAAUGUGACUCUGCUUCGGUAGAGUGUUAUAGCCACAUACAGAUGUCACCAGCCGGGACUGAGGACCGCGCUUCGUGCUAGGAUGCUGGCGUAAUG